CACGUAGGGGGCAAGCGUUGUCCGGAUUUAUUGGGCGUAAAGAGCUCGUAGGUGGUUCGGUAAGUCGGGUGUUAAACCCCCAGGCUCAACCUGGGGACGCCACUCGAUACUGCUGUGACUAGAGUCCGGUAGGGGAGCGUGGAAUUCCUGGUGUAGCGGUGAAAUGCGCAGAUAUCAGGAGGAACACCAGCGGCGAAGGCGGCGCUCUGGGCCGGUACUGACACUGAGGAGCGAAAGCGUGGGUAGCUAACAGG
rnacentral:rRNA from 1 species